CAGUCGCCACGGGAAAACGAGGGGGGCGAGCGUUGCUCGGAAUGACUGGGCGUAAAGGGCGCGCAGGCGGCGAUCAAAGUCAGGCGUGAAAUUCCUGGGCUCAACCUGGGGGCUGCGCUUGAUACUGGGUUGCUUGAGUGGGGAAGAGGGUCGUGGAAUUCCCAGUGUAGAGGUGAAAUUCGUAGAUAUUGGGAAGAACACCGGUGGCGAAGGCGGCGACCUGGUCCUUUACUGACGCUGAGGUGCGAAAGCGUGGGGAGCAAACAGGAUUAGAUACCCCCGUAGUCCCUGUCUCUUAUAC
rnacentral:rRNA from 1 species